GAUGAACGCUAGCUACAGGCUUAACACAUGCAAGUCGAGGGACCGGCGCACGGGUGCGUAACACGUAUCCAACCUGCCCUUUACUCGGGGAUAGCCUUUCGAAAGAAAGAUUAAUACCCGAUAUAAAGGAUGGGGAUGCGUUCGAUUAGGUUGUUGGUGAGGUAACGGCUCACCAAGCCGUCGAUGGAUAGGGGUUCUGAGAGGAAGGUCCCCCACGUUGGAACGGAGACACGGUCCAAAAUCGUACGGGAGGCAGCAGUGAAGAAUAUUGGUCGAUGGGCGCUAGCCUGAACCAGCCAAGUAGCGUAAAGGGUGAAGGCUUUUGGGUCGUAAACUUCUUUUAUAUAAGGAUAGGUAUUAGAUGAAUAAGGAUCGGCUAACUCCGUGCCAGCCGCCGCGGUAAUAC
rnacentral:rRNA from 1 species